rnacentral:lncRNA from 1 species
UGUGUCCCUUUCUUCUCUCUCUGUUUCCAGGCUACCAUGAACUAAGCAGCUUUCCUCCACAGUGCCCUUCUGCCAUGAUGUUCUGCCUUGCCUCAGGCCCAAAGCAAUGGAGAAGGCUGACCAUGGACUGCAACAUGAGCUGAAAUAAAUCUGUCCUCCUGUAAGUUAUUUUUUUCUGAGAAUAGUGAAAAACUAACUAUUGAAUUAGUCUUGACCACAGUUCUUUUGGAAUAGUGUAAGAAUUGUACGGGUACGGAUUUUUCAAGUUUGGAUUGAAAAAUAACCUUAUUACUUAUACAUUAACCAGGAAUCCUCAGUCUUUGGGUCACAUUUUCUACCUGAAGAUAGAGGAUCCCUCUGAGAACUCUACCUGUGUAUCUCCCCUUACCCAGAACAGGACUGAGGAUGCAAGCAAAGCUCAGGGAGAUGAUCCAGAGCUGUGAAGAUGGCUGAGGGAAGAGCAAAUAGAGCAGACACUGGUUUCUUACAUAGAACUAAGAAAUAUGGAACUGGCAGAAAGAGUCCCUAGUUAAUGGAAAAUAUACCCAGGAAUAACAAUGUCCUGCCUCAGAACCGACUGAUUUAGUCAGGUUACAAAUUCCAUCUUUUCUAAAUGCCAAAGAAAAGAAAACCAGACACAAAAAUGAGAAGGACAGAGAAAAACACCACCGACAUAAAUACUUAUGUACCUAUUCUGGGCCCUUGGGAUGUGGUGGAAAUGCCCCUCUUGGUGCAUGGAAGGCCUACUAGAAAGAGACUCAUCUGUAAUUAACUAAUAAACAGCAAGUCCAGUGAUGAUGAAUGCUAUGGGAUAAUAAUUGCUAACUCGUUGGUCGAGUGCUCUUUGUUGGGAGCAUUCCACAUACUUUACAUGUGUGAACCUCAUUAGGACCCAUUAACAUCCCCAUUUUAUGGGUGAGAAUAAUGAGGUCCUUGAGAAGUUGAAGUAGCCCAACGAUAUGCAUCUGGGAAAUAGGAAAACCAAGGUACCCUCCUCCCACAGGGAGAAAAGUCCGAGCGUCACAGGUAAGUCUCUACUGCAGGGGAAUGGAGAAGGAGUGCUGGAGUAGGGCCUGGGGUGGGCAUGGUGAUUUUAAUAAGGACAUCAUUGGAAAUUGCACUGAGAAAAUGACAUCUGAGCCAAAACCAGCAAAUAGGUGAGGACAGUGACAGAAGGCUGUGUGGAGGAGGAUCAUUUAGUUGCAAAAGCCUGAAGGCAGGAGGGAGAGAGAAAUAAGGAGGCUGAAAUGGCUGGAACAGGGCAGCAGAGUGGCCAAGGGACCAGCAGGUGAGGUGGGCAGAGAAUUUUAAGGCCGGACUGCAGAGGUCUGACAGAAGAGCUGUGGCUUGUGCCCUGGUGAGUCUUUAGAGAGGACUGCCAUGUUCUGAUUUUUAUAUUAAACACAUUAUUCUUGUGGCUUGUGUUGGGAAUAGACUGAGGAGUUUAAGGGUAGAAGCAGAAAAAGGCCAACAAUCCAACAACUGCCACUACUGUCACCGAGCCACGGGAUGGGCAAGGUCAUCCUGAAUAAAGUCUGCGUAGAUGUCCUCAAGGGCUUGAGCAGUGCACAGACCUGAGCCCUGUGGACAUGUUGGAGAGGACAGACUAGGUUCUGGUCACCAAGGGAGAAAUAUGAGUUUCUAUUUUUAGAUGUCUCAUGCUCAUGAAAAAUUGCUGAUGAAUAUUCUUGACUUGGGUACUAGUUGUUCUUGCACACCUCACCUCACUUAGGUUUCCUCAGGGUUGCGAUUCAUUCUCGUUUCUUCAACUGUUACUUCCAUGGAGAUACUUGGAACUCUAUAACUCUGGCCUAUAGAGGGCCAUUUCCAAUUUCCUAUUUUGUGUCCCACCAAAACUCAGUUCCAGGGCUUCUCUCCCACACCAACGCUUCCCUUGGACUGUCCCAUUUUUUGAUCACCAAUUACCCUGGUUCAAAUAUGUGGCAGUUACUCUGAAGCCUUCUGUGCUUUGGCUCUAAUUCAUAUAAUUCUGACUCCUAUAAAUUAUGCUUCUGAGACAUCUUUUCUUUCCAUCCUCACUGCCACCAUCUUUGUUUGAAUUUGCCCUUCCUCUGGAAAACUGUAUGUUCAGAUUCACCUUUCAGUACCUACUAUUAUGAGCUUAACUUUACCAAAGGUGAUUUAUGAUGUUCCCUUUAAAACCUUCAGUUCUUCUCUUGUCUGGUGAACCAUAUGUAGAUGCACCACAUUAUGGUUUGGAUGUGAGGGUGUCCCCCAAAAGCUCAUGUGUGAGACAAUGCAGGGAGGUUUAGAGAAGAAAUGAUUGUGAGAGUCUUAACCCAAUCAGUGAAUUAAAUCCCCUGUUGGGAUUAAUUUACUGGUAACUGAAAGUAAAUAGGAUCUGACUGGAGGAGGUGGGUCCCUGGGGACAAGCCUUUGGAGUAUAUAUUUUGUAUCUGGCGAAUGGAUUCAUUCUCUCUGUCUCUCUCACUCUUCCUUAUCAUCAUGUGAGUCACUUCCCUCCACCACACUCUACUGCCAUGAUGUUCAUCCUCGCCUUGAGCUCUGGGGAAUGGAGCCUGCUGUCUAUGGACCUCUGAUACUGCAUCCCCUCAAAUAAACUUUUCCUCCUUUACAAUUGUUCUGGUCAGAACUUUUAAUCACAGCCAUAAAAAGCUGAGUAAAACACUCCAGAGCUUGGCAUCCAUUAUUCACCACAAUGUGAACAAACCUGUAUCUAAACUUUCUCAUUCCCUUAUACAACCUGUACACCUCUAACACCCCAAGCCAACUCCUGUGAUUUUCUACCACAUUCUGUGCAUUCCUGCCUCUAACUCCUACAGAGCCCCACCUAUCUGCUACCAGCAUUUUCUGCUACCAGUGUUUUCCAACACUGUCUUCAGGAAGCCUUUCUUGUUCCCUCAAACUGGGAGCAUUUUCUCUUUCCUAUGCAUUUGUGGUUCAGUUUUGUGUGUUUGUCCUAUUACAUCAUUUAUGCCCUUGCAAGGUGAAGGCAUGCAAGUGUGUCACAUGGAAUACACUUAGGUGCUCAUUUAUUCAUGAAUUUUUUUUAUAAGCAUGGAAACCUGGGCAUUGUUCUGGGCACUUGGAACCCAAAGGAAAUCAGAUAGUUUUCCUCACUUUGACAUGCUUAUUCAGUAACCAAUGCAACAGGAGAUAAUUUACAACUUAUGGGAGUGGUAAUCCAACCAUCCUCAGUUAAAAAUCAUGUUUCAUGCUACCUUCUACUCCUGCCAUCAUAAAUCAAGGUAAUUACUUGGCAAUCUGGCUACACCUUGUAAGGCAAAAGAGCUGUUCAUGUCUUGUGUCAAAUGGUGAAUGGAGAGGGGGGGAGGAAAAGGGUAAAUUACUCUGCCUCCAAUCUGUGCCCAAUCAGCUGUAAAUCUCCAGGAAAAAAAAAUGUACUUGGGAUCACCAAAGAAAUAUCCUUUUGACUGUGCAUCUAUAGGUAGGAUUUUGUGCAGUUGGAGGGACAGACCCGAGUAAGUGUGAAGCAUACCUGGAACUUCAUGUUGAUCUUUUAUGUUUGAGUGCAAGAGUGGGCACUUCUAAUGGAUUUAAAAGGUUACCCUGCCUUCUCUGCCUGUGUACACAGCAAGUGGAGCAGGGCUCUCAAGGCCUGACUGUGACAAGGACCACACGUUUUAAAGAUGCCCUGUGAAAUGGAAAACAGCACUGGGGCUUCAGCACAAGUGCAAUUCUUAUAUCUUAUCGACCUUUAGUGCAACAAUUUGUUACAUGCCGAGAUUUUAAAAUGUGUUCUUGCCAGAAGAGAGACUCAAGGAUGGGACAAAGGAGUAAUUUAAAUGCCCCUUAAAACUGUAAAUGGACAAAGGUGUAUAGCGUAGCAGGAGAAUUGUCGUAGUUAAGGGCACAGUUUCUGGAAGAAGAUAGUGAGAGUCGGGAAUCCCAGCAGCACAAUGUCCUAUAGCUGUAGGAACUUGGGUAAGCACAGAGGUUAACUAGUCUCUCUGUACCUCAUCUCAAAAUAAUAAAUGAACUUUGACCAUAGAACAUGGUUGUAUUAAGUGAGCUAAUAAUACUUGUAAGAUGACAGCAGUUUAGCAUCAGUAAAGGGUUAUUAAAUUAAAAUGAAUUAAACUAUGUGCUUAAUUUAUUAAAUUAAAACAAAUUAGACUACACUCCCCCCCCCCCAGCAACCUCACAUGACACGGGAAACCCCUCUCACCUGAUAGUUACCUGGAGAUAUUACCUCUUGAUUUCAACAGUCUACUGAGCAACCAACAUUAUUUGUAGGGGGGAGAAAUGGGUAAGUUUUGCCAUAUACAGUAAAUUUUUACAUUUGCUUCUCCCUUAAAUGAAAGGAAAACAUCCAUGGAGAAAAAGGGGGGAAAAAAUCUUUCCCAAAGGAUACUUGAAUAAACCUGAAUAAAUGAAAGCUCUGCAGGUAAUCUAACCCUCUAGAUAUAGUGACACAAAUUCUACACCAUUAAUGACUAUCACGUGCAAUCCUGUGGGGAGAGAAAUUCCCCAAAUCGGCCCUUUUUAUGCCUUGUUUCCUCUUUUAUGUGCAAUUUCAUCUUUCUGGGGCCCAUAUAAAUCUCUCUCAGCCUGUAUUAUCUUCCCAUUAUGAGCGAGUGGCCAUAAUGACAGCCACCUGUUUUAAUGACAGAGCCAGGAUGUCAUCAUUUUCAGCAGAGUGUUGUUAAUCUGAGUAACCUUUCCCUUCAGGAAUGCCAUCCCCACCUUCUUGCAGUUUGGUGCCAGUUUCAGAGCACCUGUUCCCCUCUAGUUUUAAAAGGUAAACUCCUCCCCAAGGGGAAACCCUUCCUCCGCCUCCACUCCCUGGUAUACUCUCUGUAUAAAUCUUGCACUUUUGGUCGCUAUGGUUUUCUCAAUCAAACCAGCAGGGGGGAAAAGUGGAAGAUGGGAACAUAUUGUUAGAGAACGCACAUUAACACACUGUAAUAGCCCAAUCAGAAAUUUGUCAACAUCGUUAACUGCCACCUUCGCUCGGCUUCAAUCCUGGAACAGCUGCUGACAGGCUUGCUGAGGCUUCCUCCAGGACAUCAGGUGUGCGGAAUCAAUAGCACCAUGGCGUCUAAGCCAAUGACUGCCACAAACACCAUUUGUCACUCUGAGACACACAGCGACAGGAUCCCAGAGCUCCGGCCACUCCCAAUGACCCCCAGGGACAUUUCCAAGGCUCUCUGAUGUGGUCUAAUUGGCUAAGUGUAGAUUUUGCCAACUUCAAAGCUGUUCUUGCAAAGCCAUCUAAGUCAAGCCCAAGCGGUGCUUGGUUGGCCUGUCAUCCUGGAGACACAGCGUGGUGGCGUACACGGGAGCUCACACAGCUUCAGUGCAGAAUCUGACUCUUCUGCUUGCCAGCUGAAAGACUGCAGGCAAGGGUUGUCAGUUCUUUGACAAAAAGCUGUGGGGUAGACAGGUGACAUAUGCCAGGGUCUGGUUGAGCAGGUUCUCAGUGCAUGUUCCCUGCUUUCUUUCCUCUCCUGAAUGCCUCCGUUCUCACCACCUUCUAUGGCCCAAGCCAAGGUCUGCCCAUCUGCCAUGGUCCAAGUCUUCUCCAGGAGAUCCGGCCCAGCUGGUCAGCUCUCGCUGCUGUUUCUCUCUCCAUACGACACACUCCUUCCUUUCUUUCUCAUCCUUUUCUUGGAUCUGUGAGGCUGCACACAAUUCCUUACCCCACUGCUCAAGGACCAGUAGCCAAGGAGGAAGAAGAAACGCUGUUGGCCUUCCCUUUUGGCUAUCUUCUGAUUUUGUUCUUCCUGCUCCAUGUUAGACUAAUUAUCAGCAUCUCCUAUUACUCCAGUGCAUUCUUAGGUCGGACAUCUUAGGAGACUCACCAGUGCCCAGUCUCACAAGUUGAUCUGAAGCCACACACACCUCUUCUCCCUCCAUCCUGCUUAAAUGGGAGUGGGGGCUCCUCUCGAAUGGUAAUUCCACCUGUGCUCUGGAUGCCCUCUUGCCUUCUCAGGGACUUUAUUUCUACCCUGCUCCUGAUUUCUUCGAUGCAUGGAAACAUGAGCAAGUCUCUGGAAUCUUUAAGAAACAUCCGACCUCAAAGUCCAUUAUUUCCCAUCAACUAUUACCACCUGUCUUGUCCCCUGUGAGGCUGAACUUCUUUAAUGAAUUUUCCACACCGUUCACUUCCAACCCACUUUAAACUCACUUUAGUCUGGCUGCCUUCUUCCCCUUUAGGCCAUUGCUUCUUCUGGAGGCACAUUUUCUUCCUCUUCCUUAGUGCACAUGAUCCAUGGCUGGGGUGAUAGUCAAGUUCCUCUUUCCUUCUCAUGAAAAUUCUUUCCCCAGGGCAAAGAUGUUUGCUAAGGAUUCCCAAAAUUAUAUCUAUAGCCACAUGAAGAAGUGUUCAACAAGGAAUAAGGGCGUAGUCAACAGUAUCAAAUAUUGCCAAGAGUCUAAGCAAUAGAUGCACCAAGGUGUCUACCAGAUUUAGCUUUGCAUAGGUCAUGGAAAUUUCUGUAGGGUUUUACUGGUGGAGAAGAACAGACUUUCUCAUCUUGAAGAUUAGUUACCUGAUCUUAAGGUGACUUAGCAGACUCUUGGUCGCACACAUAGGUCCAGUACUAGAACAGAAACUCAUGACUGUAUUUUGAAUCUGAAAUUUCCACCAAAGGCCCCUGUGUAAAGGAAUGGUCCUCAGUUUAGCACUCUUGGAAGAUGAUGGGAGUUUUAACACAGUGGGGCCUAGUGGGAGGUUUCAGGUCAUUAGGUGCAUGUCCUUAAAAAGAAUUGUGGGGCACCAGUUUCUUCUCUCUCUUUUUGUGUCCCAGCCAUGAAGUUAAUGGUUUUGCUAUGUGUUUCUAUGAUAUAUUGCCUCACCAUAGGCCCCAAACAGGGUCAACUAAUCAUGAAAUAAAACCUCCAAAACCAAUAUAACCCUUUUCUCUUUAUAAGCUAAUUAGCUCAAGUACUUGUUAUAGUAAUAAAAAGCUGACGAACACAACUUUCAGUUCUAUAUGUGCCCAAGACAUAAUGACUGUUUUAUUUUAUAGUAAGAAUGGAUUGAGCUGGCCUUCUCCUGUGAGGGUAGAGAACUUCCCUUUAAGUUUUGGAUACCUUAUCCUGAGGUGGGAAAUACAGUGUCAAUCCAUGAAGGAGAAAUCUUAGGUAGGUGAUAUAACUAGAUCUAUGAGAACAGAGUCCCCCCCCCCCCCCCCCUUUCCCAGGGCUUUAUGAUCCUAUUAGAUCAUCCCAAUCUUUCCUAAUCCUUCCUAAUCCAGUCUUUGUUCCCUCUCACAAUCUGGCGCACCUGAGUUUGUGUUCUUCCUUUCUUAUCUUAUCCCAGCCCUACAUGCCCUUUCCCAUUCAGAGCUCAGGUAACUCCUCCUUCCGCUCUAUGUGGGAGAUCUCCUCCAGGUAGCCAUUUGGUACUGAUGCAUUUGGAGCCUGCCCAGAGCCUAACCUUGCUUGACCUCUGAUCCCUUCUUUGCCACAAUGAGACUAACUAUCAAAGAAAUAAUUACUCUAAUUAUAGUAUUUUCUUGUUCUAUUAUUUCUUCUUCACCCUCAAGGUAUUAAUGCAAUCACCACAAAUAAUCAUGUAUUUCAGAACACAGCAUUUACUGCAGCAAAAUAACUAUCAUAUUUCAAUGACUCCCAAUGAUCCCUAUGUCCUGGUUUCUUGUCCUUGUAUAAUCUUUCCUUUGAGCAUGGACUAGACCUUAUGACUUCUUUAUAAUGGAGAGUCAUGGGAGGUCAUGAAAUCAGAUUAUAAAACGACUGUGACUUCUAUCUUGCUGGCCUCAUGGUUUCUCUCCCUUGUUUGCAACAAUGGAAGCCAGCUUCCCUACAGAGAGGCCCUGGGGCAAAAGAAGAAAGGGUAGCCCAAAGAACCAGAAAGGCAGGAACUAAGACCCUCCAUCCAAUUUCCCACAAGGAACUGAAUUCUUCCAACAGCCAUGUGUGAAUUUGAAAGCCCAUCCUUGCAGGGUCAAGCUCUCAUCUGACUUUAGCCAAAACCUUGAAGCUUUGUGGGAGACCUUCAAAUACAAGUCUGUAGCUAAACCAUGUCCAGUUCCCUGACCCAGAGAAUUUGACAUAACAAAUAUUUAUUGUUUAAGCAGCCAAGUUUUAGGAUAAUUUGCUACCCAGAAACACAUGAUCAAUGUAAUAUCUAAGCCAACACUUUUGCAUGAUUCAAGAGUAGGAAAGAAUAUAUCUAUGGCAGUAUUUUUUUCCCUUUGAGGCCUAAAUGAAAAUAAACAACAACAAAAAAGUACAUUGCCAAAACUCAAGUACGAUGAGAAAUAUGGGGUGAGUGAAAGUGAUUGACUUGAGUUCUAAGAUUAACUAUUAGCGGAGAUAUAACACUUAUAUAUUUCUACUCCUACCAUCCCAACUGAGAAAUGGAGGAGACAAAUAUUUGUGGCCUGUCUGAUCUCACUUGCUUGUUUGCUGUAGUCUAUUUGGGCAAAUGGAGAGAGGAUCUAGGAUUCAAGUGCAGUGUGUUAGCAUUAAUGAAUUCCCCAAAUAUCCUGUUUUCCUGGGGUAAAUUUACUUUAUAACGAUCACCAUUGCCAACUAAAAAUUAAAUCAAUAAAUCAGUAUGAGGAAAUUGUUGAGAGGAGCUAGGAGUCCUACUAGAAGAAAGCAAAUGUUUAUGGAUUGAGUUCCCACACCUCUGUGUAGCUGGCCUACCACCCAGUUCUAGGAUCACAGGAGGCCCAGCAAGGGAGAGGGCAUCGGCCCCCAGGGCAGGAAAACACUUGAGUACUCUGGGUCCAUGUCAGCCAUUGUGUCUCUACAGCACAUUUCUCCCCUUCUCCAGGAAAAAUAGACAACAGUCAUUGCCAAACUCUUUCUGCUCUUGUUUCUGGCAAGAAGUAGUUCUAACUUCUUAACCCUUUACCAAUACUUUUAAACUACACAUGAUCAAGCCUGCCUUUCUGUGUGCCCCUUUCCUCUGGUGUUAUUUCUCUAGUAUAAUAUUGCUCAGGAUUCAGCAAAGACAACAGAAGAAUACCUGACUCUAAGUUAUGACGUCAACAAGUUGUCAUAAUUAGAGAAGUGUGUUUUGUAGAAAAUUGUUCUUUUGGUUUUACCUUAGCACUACAGGGAAAUUCACAGAAUCAUGCAGCUAUGACAAUUGCUGCAAAAGUCACACAUAUCCAAACCAGAAAACAAACCAAAAAAUUCAUAUUUUUGGAUGGACUCCCUCUUUCUGACCCUUCCCAUUCCUCUCUGCCACAUGCACAUACUCCACAGAUAGAAACAUGUUCAGAUUCAUGCUUGGCCAAACAGAUAUAUACUCUCAGGAUCUAACUAUCUGCAUAUGAGAACUAUCAAAAUAAUAAAUGAAAGCAAUCACAUACUAUUUCUAGAUAGUUCUGUCAUGUAUAUAAAAUGUCUGUGGUGAUUUGUUGAUUUAUUUUCACUCUACAUUCAAACAUGUCAUGAGAAUAUAAACAAAGUUGCUUAUGCCAUGCUGAACCUCUUGACAUUAGCAAACAUCCAGGUGACUGAAGCAAUUUUUCCAGUUUUGCCUAAUGCUGGACAUCGUCCUUCCCUUAAACUCGAAUCCCCAGGCCCCCUAAUCCCUUCCCACCAUGACCAAGAUGCAGGUCAGCUCUGAAGUGAUUCACUGAUAACUGUGAACUGCUGGAAACACUGGGAACUGAAAAAUCAAAGAUAAAUAUACUGUAAACCUUCUAAGAAAGUAGGUGGAUCAUCUGUAACUACAAAUGUCAAAAUCUAAGGUCCCUCAGCCCCACCCUUGAGAGUUGAGGAGUGGAGACAGAGAUAUUUGCUACUUUUUUUUUUUCAUGUUUACUUUUUCUCUCCCCCACCAAUCUCUUCAUGCAUAAUAAACCUGAUAGGCAUAAAAUUUAGAUAUUAGCUUGGGCACCUAAAUCAGAACGGAAACCCCAUUUUCAAAAACUGUCUCAAAUGCUUGAUCUAUCUAUGCUGCUGGAUGAUGUGCGGACAGUGCUAGCUUUUCCAGUUCUAUUGGAAUCGUCAGUUUUCUCGCCUGCCUUCCCCCCCAUUUCCCCUUCCACCACUCUCCUCUCCUCUCUUCUUUCCCUCUUCUCUUGCUUCCUUCUUCCUUCAGGAAAUACUUACGAAGCCUCUGCUGCAUACCAGGCACUGUGACAGCUACUGGGAAUACAAUUGUGGCUGCACUGAUAAGGUUGAUACUGUCACUGUCCUGCUUUUAAGCCCUCAGUUCUUCCCUGAGCUAUGCCUGCAGACCCUUCCCCAGGAGGCUGGGGAUAUGUUAUGGUUUGGAUGUGAGGUAUUCCCCAAAAUCUCACAUGUGGAAUAAUGCAAGAAGGUUCAGAGGAGAAAUGAUUAGGUUGAGAGAGUCUUAACCAAUCAAUAGUUAAUACCCUAAUAGGGAUUAACUGAGUGGUUACUGAAGUGAGAGGGUGUGGCUGGAGGAGGUGGGAAUUGGGGUGUGGCUUUGGGGUAUAUAUUUGUAUCUAGCAAGGGAGACCUUUCUCUCUGCAUUGUCCCGUGAGCUGCGUUCCCCUGCCACACUCUUCUGCCAUGAUGUUCUGCCUCACCUUGAGCCCCAGGGAAUGGAUCCUACAGUCUGUGGAAUUGAGAUGGUUGAAACCAAGAGCCCUUAAAGAAACUUUUCCUCCCCUACAGUUGUUCUGGUUGGGUCCUUUUAUUCACACCAGCAAAAAAGCUGACUGCCUCUUUCUGUUUUUCAAAGAGGACUUUUUUCUGUCUUAUAGAUAUGGCAGAGGCAAGGAAGGACAGAAGUGCCCAGGAACAAAUGUCCUUGGGGGGAUUUGAAGCUGUGAAGGAUGGGGCAUGAAAGAGAAACAGCAGCAUUGUUGCUUCUCCGUGGGACAGUGUUUCUCAGGGUCCCAGGGGUCUAGAUUCCCAGAUGCCCAGGCAAUAAGCCACUCGUACCAAUGAUUUACUGGCUUUCUUCCCUUCCUGCCACAUGUCCCCAUUUCCUGUAUCUUUGGACGUGCAUCUUUGUCUGCAGGUCUUUUUUGGGGGGAUGUUCACUCAAACUACAAACUCAUAGGGGAAAUGCAAAAAAAAAAAAAAAAAAAAAAGCAGGAGAAGAAAAAAGAAAAAUCCCUGAAUUGUCAUGCAAUGCCUACUUUUCCCCAAAUAACUCAAAUAGCAGAAUGCUAAAAUAGUUCAAAUUGAGAAUCAUCUAAACCUAAGCUGCCUGGUAUGCUUGCAAUGGUAUUUUAACAUAUCCCUAAACAUCACGAAAAUCCAUAAACCAUUCAUUCAAAUGAAAUUUGAAGGACAUAGAAAACACAAGCACACUGUCUGAAAGAAUUAUCAUGUGGUGCCUUAAAUAUAAUGCACUGGCAUUUUUCAUCCUCUAAAUUUAAAGAUAAUCCUUUGGUAUUUGAGUCUUUGGACUGGCUGUACUGUUCAUCUUUUUGUUGAAAAAAAAAACCCCUAAAUAACAUUUCCUAUUCUGCAAAAUGGUAUAAUAUUCAGAAUCAAACCAAUUCUACUUGGUAAACUUCACUUGAAUGCUAUUCUUCAUCAACAUCACAUGCCUAUUAGAAUACAAAGAACAGCUGGCUUUUCACUAAAGUGAUUAUUUUUGUAUUAUUGAAUUCUGAAUAUUCAGCAUUGCCUAUCUCUCUUGAGUCAUUUCAAAUUAGAUCGCUAUAUCCAAGACACCUCAGUUUGCUUUAGUAGAGGGGACAGAUGGAUGGGAAUAGAGGUGAAAAUAGAGAAGUAAUAUCCCUUCUAUAACCCUUUUCAGUUUCAUAUGGAAUAAACAAAACAAAGACAAUUUUAACAUCUGUGAAGUCAAUAAAUGUCAGUUUCUAGGAAUCGGCUUCAAAACUGUAGUCAAUUCAUGGGCCUGCUCUCUCUUCUCUCUGUGUGUAUGUACUGACAUGUUAUCUAGACUCAAAUGGUCCACAGUCACUGACACACAAUAAGAACAUCUGAGAACUCAAUUACUUGACACAGAUAAUACUUCACACGUAUAAAAUAAAAACUUUCUAACAUAAAAACUUCUGUUAGUCUCCUUUAAUUAUAGCUACUCCUCACAGAAUUGAAAGUCAAAUCUUGAUUGAUAUUGUAUCCUGAACUCAGAAGGGCUCAGUAACAUCAUAUUGCCUUUAGAGAGUUCUUUUUAAUCCACAGGCUUCUACAGUGGUUUUAUAGCAACUCAGAGUUUUUUAAGACAUUAUUCCUGCAGUGGCAGUUUCCAAAAUGCUUUGUAGCAUCUUCUCAAAGAUAAAUAGGAGCAAGCCAGUUAGACAAAAGACAGAACAAUAAGUAAAAGCCCCAUAUUCCUAUAGAUACAGAUGUGGAACUUGGAAAGUGACUGUUACUUUUAAACAAAAAUGUGACUGGGUGGCUCUGUCAUUCCUUGAUACCCAUAGGAUGGUCUGAGGACCAUCAUUAGAAAACAUGGUGGGAGCUUGUUGGAAAGACAAACUUUCAGGUCUCAUCCCAGACCAACUGAAUCAGAAUAUGCAUUUAAACAAAAUCCUCAGACGCUUUACACAUGCAUCAGAAUUUGAGAAGCACUGUUCUAUGCCAGGAUAUAGAUAACUCCCAUGAAUACUUGUUUCAGCAAUUUGCUCUUACUCAGAUAGAACAAGACUAUAGUGAAAAAUGUUGAUGUUGGGAUUUUUUUUUUGUCCCCAGGGGUAGUGGGAGGGAGUGAUAGAAGGUACUAAAGAAAAGUAGGGGUGGAGAUGGGGAAGAUACAGGGAAUCAGAAAGAUGCUAAUGGGGUUCUUGGCUCUAUUGCCCACAAGACCAGAUCCUGAAAUGAUAACGAGACUCCAUGCACACCAGGAAAAUAUCAGCUUGUCCAGCAAGUCCAAGUCCAAGUGUUCUUAGGAUUUGCUUUAGAUUCUCUAAUCUUGAGUCUAUUCACCUGUAGAGCAAGGAGGCCUCACUACUUUACAAAAUUCACCUUUGAGGCACAUAUAUAUGUAUCAGAGAAGAGGGGAGAAUCAUAUAAGAGAGUAGAAGAGAGAAAGGGUGAAGAGCCUAAGAAAUCUUUGCAGAGUCACUGGGUUGUGAGAACAACUUGACAACCACUUUGAUCCCAUCUUGCUUUCCAGGGCUCAGUUUCUUUCAUGAGAUUUAUUUCCCAAUUAUAAACUACCAUUGUCUUUUAAUGCCUCUAGUAACAGCACGAUUCUUUUGGCCUUACAUGCAUCCCUAUUUGAUAUCAAGUGGCCACACACACUGACAAUCAAAAUUUAAAAUCCUCCUGGUUCAACAACCUCUGCAAUGAUAUAUAGCUAUAACUACCAGGUAGCCAAUUUAUGGCCUAUUCUGCCUUACCUAGUAUACCCAGAGCCGCCCCAAAGCACUGCCAAACUAACCUCUGCUCUUUUACAGGAAAUUUCAAUUGAUAAAAUUUAGGCAAUACUGGAACUAGAUGACAAAAUGAAUGGCUCAAACGUUGCAUUAAAUGUGGGUUUCAAUUCACCCUGGUAUUAAAGAGAAACUCUUACAUCAUGGAAGUUGAACUUAGGUACGACUUUCUCAACAGAACAGUGUCAACUGCCAGAGCUUCAGGCAAGAACCCAGAAAAGAUGAAAUCCCAGACAUGAUGAAAUGAGCCAAGAAGAUCCAGGCCAAGAUGUGAAAGGCCAAAUGGGAACAAGCAGCACACACAAUUCUGUUGCCAAGAGAUCUCCUCUAACGGUGUCACGUCCCAAGUUUCCACAGUGAAUGUCAGCAAGAGGAUGAUAAUUGAGGUGGGCAGUCAAUAGAGAAAUACAGUCUAUAAGGAAGUCACCCCAGAGAAGUUGUUUUUUUCUGUUUCUCAUGAGAAAUUGCCAGAAUGAAUUAGAAGCUAUUUGAGUAUUAUACUUAUCUUGGCACCAACAUGAUUUAUCUUCAAGGAAUCUUUAUCAAAUUUGCAUCUUGUCUAAUUUGGCAAGGAAAGUCCUCAUAAAAAGACAACCAUGAAACCCAGUUAGAUAUACAAAAUGGCUUCACUAAACCUCCAGGCAAACAGUGCCCAAGAUGCUUCAUUACUAACUGCUCACGCCUCCAGCUCCACAUCCAGAACUGACCCUUAACCCCUGCACUCUCACCUUUACUUCAAACCCAGUAAAAAAAAAACCUUCUGGACUGGGGUUGUGGCUCAGUGGUAGAGCGCUCACCUAGCAUGUUCAAGGCCCUGGGUUCGAUCCUCAGAACCACGUAAAAAUAAGUAAAAUAAAAGUAUUGUGUCCAACUGCAACUAAAAACUAAAUAUUAAAAAAAUAAACAACUCUUCUUUCUACCCCACAUUUCCCAUAGCUCUUCCUCCACAUUUUCCCAUUUUUGGCAUUCCCACACUGGAAAAUUGAGAAGCUUAUGGCUUGUUCCUUCCUUCACUGUUUGAGUUUAAGCAGGUAAAAGUAAUUUGUUUUCCCCCCAAUAGUUUCAGUAAUCAACCAUUUCUCUUUUAUUUCUCUGAUGAUGGACCUGGUUCAUGCAUUGAUUUCCAUUACCAGAAUUAUAUAGAAAAAUCCUUCCACUUACUCUUUAAUUUCUUGCACAUUUGAGCACCUUCUGCAUUCAGUAAGCACUGCGCUAGGUGCUGAGGAUAGAAAAGUGAGCAGAAUGGAGUUGGUUCUGGUCCUCGAGGAGUUUACUGGCUGGUGACAUCCCUGCAUGGCACAUUUUUCAGGACACCAUCAGACUAACCUUACUAAUAUACUUGUUGAAUCAUUUCUUUAUCCUGCUCAAAUGCUGUGCAUGGCCUAGUGGAAAAAUAACCAAGCACAUCGAAAGCAAAACUCUUCAAUCAUUCUAAAAUUUUGCAAUCUGGCCUCUACCUAUUUCUCUAAUAUCAGUCUUUAUUAUUCUCUCAACAAAGCAUCUGGAUGAAACUGGCUGACAGAAUCUCCACCUCAGGACGCUCUACAUUCCUUGCUCUUUGCUUUGGUUCUGUUGUUUCUUUGUCCAGAAGACCCACAUCCUCUAAUGUGAUAUUUUCGAAUUGAGAUACAAAAAAAGUCUUCUCUCUUCUCUGUACUUAAAUAUUUGGUCAAUUUAAAUGGCACUUAAUCUAGCCAAUAGUUGCCAUAACCUUAUCAUACUUUCUUGUUCCACAAUUCAAGUUUCUACUUUUAGAAUCCCUUGUUUACAUAUUUGUAAUUGAACAAUUAUUUUACCUUAAUUGACAAAAUAGAAAUUGUAUCUAUAUUUAUGGCAUGCAAUGCAUUUUGAUACAUGUACACCUUGUGAAAUAAUAAAAUCAAGUUAAUU